UGAGGAAUAUUGCACAAUGGGCGAAAGCCUGAUGCAGCAACGCCGCGUGAGGGACGAAGGCCUUCGGGUUGUAAGCCUCUUUUCUGGGGGACGAGUAAGGACGGUACUCCAGGAAUAAGUCUCGGCUAACUACGUGCCAGCAGCCGCGGUAAAACGUAGUAGGCGAGCGUUAUCCGGAUUUACUGGGCGUAAAGCGUACGCAGGUGGCUUCGUUAGUCGGACAUGAAAGCUCCUGGCUUAACUGGGAGAGGUUGUUCGAUACUGCGGGGCUUGAGGUUGGGAGAGGGACGUGGAAUUCCCGGUGUAGUGGUGGAAUGCGUAGAUAUCGGGAGGAACACCAGUGGCGCAAGCGGCGUCCUGGCCCACACCUGACGCUGAGGUACGAAAGCGUGGGUAGCAAACAGG
rnacentral:rRNA from 1 species